UGCCAGCAGCCGCGGUAAUACGGAGGGGGCUAGCGUUGUUCGGAAUUACUGGGCGUAAAGCGUGCGUAGGCGGCUACAUAAGUUGAGGGUGAAAUCCCGGGGCUCAACCCCGGAACUGCCUUCAAAACUGUGUGGCUAGAGGCAAGGAGAGGAGAGCGGAAUAACCAGUGUAGAGGUAAAAUUCGUAGAUAUUGGUUGGAACACCAGUGGCGAAGGCGGCUCUCUGGCUCGGUACUGACGCUGAGGUGCGAAAGCGUGGGGAGCGAACAGGAUUAGAUA
rnacentral:rRNA from 1 species